rnacentral:rRNA from 1 species
UUCGCAAUGCCCGAAAGGGUGACGAAGCGACGCCGCGUGCGGGAAGAAGGCCUUCGGGUUGUAAACCGCUGUCGGGAGUUAGGAAGUGCAAGAAUGUUAAUAGCGUUCUUGCUUGACUAAGGCUCCGGAGGAAGCCACGGCUAACUCUGUGCCAGCAGCCGCGGUAAUACAGAGGCGGCAAGCGUUGUUCGGAAUUAUUGGGCGUAAAGAGCACGUAGGCGGCUAUGUAAGUCGGUUGUGAAAGCCUUCCGCUCAACGGAAGAACAGCAUCCGAUACUACAUGGCUUGAGUGUGGGAGGGGAGAGUGGAACUUCUGGUGGAGCGGUGAAAUGCGUAGAUAUCAGAAGGAACGCCGGCGGCGAAAGCGGCUCUCUGGCCCAUAACUGACGCUGAGUGUGCGAAAGCUAGGGGAGCAAACGGGAUUAGAUACCCCGGUAGUCCUAGCCGUAAACGAUGGGCACUAAGUAGAGGGGUUUU